UACGGAGGAUGCAAGCGUUAUCCGGAAUGAUUGGGCGUAAAGCGUCCGCAGGUGGCAGUUCAAGUCUGCUGUCAAAGACCGGGGCUUAACUUCGGAAAGGCAGUGGAAACUGAACAGCUAGAGUAUGGUAGGGGCAGAGGGAAUUCCUGGUGUAGCGGUGAAAUGCGUAGAGAUCAGGAAGAACAUCGGUGGCGAAGGCGCUCUGCUGGACCAUAACUGACACCCAGGGACGAAAGCUAGGGGAGCGAAUGGG
rnacentral:rRNA from 1 species